rnacentral:rRNA from 1 species
UUUUAGAAAUUAAUUUAAAGUCUAACCUGCCCACUGAAUAAUUUUAAAUGGCCGCAGUAUCCUAACUGUGCAAAGGUAGCAUAAUCAUUAGUCUUUUAAUUGAAGGCUGGAAUGAAUGGUUGGAUGAAAUAUUAACUGUUUCAUAAAAAUUUAUAAUAGAAUUUUAUUUUUUAGUCAAAAAGCUAAAAUAUUAUUAAAAGACGAGAAGACCCUAUAAAUCUUUAUAUUUAAAUAAUUUUAAUUAUUUAGAUAAAUUAAAUUAUAAUUAUUUUAAAUAUUUUAUUGGGGUGAUAUUAAAAUUUAAUAAACUUUUAAUUUAUUAUAAACAUAAAUUAAUGAAUUAUUGAUCCAUUUAUUAUGAUUAAAAAUUUAAGUUACUUUAGGGAUAACAGCGUAAUUUUUUUAGAGAGUUCAUAUUGAUAAAAA